rnacentral:snoRNA from 1 species
UAACAUAAAUCUUAAAAAUCUGAAGACACUGGUGCAGCUUCAUGGGCCCAGCAAUUAUGCGAAAGAACUUGUCCUAACUGGCUCCCUUGGUCUCUUUCAUUCUGAACUAAACUGCUCUUUUAAAAACAAGGUACAUUU